rnacentral:rRNA from 1 species
ACUCAAAUGAAUUGACGGGGGCUCGCACAAGCGGUGGAGCAUGUGGUUUAAUUCGACGACAAGCGGGGCACCUCACCCAGGCUUGACAUCUAGGGAAAGUCCAUGAAAGUGGACCGUGCCGCAAGGAACCCUAAGACAGGUGUUGCACGGUCGUCGUCAGCUCGUGUCGUGAGAUGUACGGUUAAGUCCGUAAACGAGCGAAACCCACGUCCAGUGUUAUAUUUUUCACUGGAGACCGCCGGCGUUAAGCCGGAGGAAGGUGUGGAUGACGUCAGAUCAGCGUGGCCCUUACGCCUGGGGCUACACACGUGCUACAAUGCCAUAGACAAUGGGUCGCCAAGCCGCAAGGCGGAGCUAAUCCCACCAAAAUAUGGCCCAGUUCGGAUUGGAGUCUGCAACUCGACUCCAUGAAGCCGGAAUCGCUAGUAACCGCGUAUCAGCCACGUCGCGGUGAAUACGUUCUCGAGCCUUGUACACACCGCCCGU